rnacentral:rRNA from 1 species
AACGAACGCUGGCGGCGUGGAUAAGACAUGCAAGUCGAACGAUUAUCAUCGGGUAGCAAUAUUCGGUGGUGAGAGUGGCGCAAGGGUGCGUAACACGUGGGUAAUCUGCCCUCGAGUUUGGGAUAACCCCGCGAAAGCGGGGCUAAUACCGAAUAAGACCACAGGGACCAAAGUCCCAGGGGUAAAAGGUGGCCUCUAUUUAUAAGCUACCACUUGAGGAUGAGCCCGCGGCCCAUUAGCUAGUUGGCAGGGUAACGGCCUACCAAGGCGAUGAUGGGUAGCUGGUCUGAGAGGACGAUCAGCCACACUGGAACUGAGACACGGUCCAGACUCCUACGGGAGGCAGCAGUGGGGAAUAUUGCUCAAUGGGCGAAAGCCUGAAGCAGCAACGCCGCGUGGGGGAUGAAGGUUCUCGGAUUGUAAACCCCUUUCGAUCGGAACGAAUCCCCUCCCGGUGAACAAUCGGGAGGAUCGACGGUACCGAGAGAAGAGGCCACGGCUAACUCUGUGCCAGCCGCCGCCGUAACAC